UAGCCAACAUCAGAAUCACGGAAAGAAUAUGCAACAAGAACACGUCGUAGUGUAGCAUGACCCUCCGGAGUGUCCAACCACGGGUGACCAGGAAAGGUUCGUGGCAGAUCAUGAUCAAUCUGCCUUGUAGCAGGUGUAACCUUCCCUUCAACAGCCUUGGUCAAAUCAUUGUAAUAGCUCUCAGGCACCGUAGACUUCUUCUUUGCAGCUCCAGAGAGCGAAAACCAAACCUUAGGCCUAAGCACAGGAGGUAUUCCCUUCCUUAUAAGCUUCUUCAAAGUGAUCGCAUUAGCUAAAGUAGACAAUUUAAGAGAAGAUUUCAACGCAAUCCCUUCAACAAUUGAAGUAACCUGAGGCUGCAAAUACCAAUUUGCACCUUUGCUAGCC
rnacentral:misc_RNA from 1 species